rnacentral:rRNA from 1 species
CCUACGGGUGGCAGCAGUGAGGAAUAUUGGUCAAUGGACGAGAGCCUGAACCAGCCAAGCAGCGUGAAGGAUGACUGCCCUAUGGGUUGUAAACUUCUUUUAUAUGGGAAUAAAAUGUUUCACGUGUGGGAUUUUGUAUGUACCAUAUGAAUAAGGAUCGGCUAACUCCGUGCCAGCAGCCGCGGUAAUACGGAGGAUCCGAGCGUUAUCCGGAUUUAUUGGGUUUAAAGGGAGCGUAGGUUGUUUGUUAAGUUAGUGGUGAAAUGUCGAGGCUCAACCGUAAAAUUGCAGUUGAUACUGGAAGACGUGAGAACAGAAGAGGUAGGCGGAAUGCGUGGUGUAGCGGUGAAAUGCUUAGAUAUCACGAAGAACACCGAUUGCGAAGGCAGCUCACUGGACUGCAACUGACACUGAGGCUCGAAAGUGUGGGUAUCGAACAGGAUUAGAUACCCCUGUAGUC